rnacentral:rRNA from 1 species
GACGAACGCUGGCGGCGUGCUUAACACAUGCAAGUCGAACGGAAAGGCCCUGCUUUUGUGGGGUGCUCGAGUUGCGAACGGGUGAGUAACACGUGAGUAACCUGCCCUUGACUUUGGGAUAACUUCAGGAAACUGGGGCUAAUACCGGAUAUGAGCUCCUGCUGCAUGGUGGGGGUUGGAAAGUUUCGGCGGUUGGGGAUGUACUCGCGGCUUAUCAGCUUGUUGGUGGGGUAGUGGCUUACCAAGGCUUUGACGGGUAGCCGGCCUGAGAGGGUGACCGGCCACAUUGGGACUGAGAUACGGCCCAGACUCCUACGGGAGGCAGCAGUGGGGAAUAUUGCACAAUGGGCGGAAGCCUGAUGCAGCAACGCCGCGUGCGGGAUGACGGCCUUCGGGUUGUAAACCGCUUUCGCCUGUGACGAAGCGUGAGUGACGGUAAUGGGUAAAGAAGCACCGGCUAACUACGUG